rnacentral:rRNA from 1 species
GGGUUGUGAGGUUAAGCGACUAAGCGUACACGGUGGAUGCCCUGGCAGUCAGAGGCGAUGAAGGGCGUGCUAAUCUGCGAUAAGCGCCGGUAAGGUGAUAUGAACCGUUAUAACCGGCGAUACCCGAAUGGGGAAACCCAGUGUGACUCGUCACACUAUCAUUAACUGAAUCCAUAGGUUAAUGAGGCGAACCGGGGGAACUGAAACAUCUAAGUACCCCGAGGAAAAGAAAUCAACCGAGAUUCCCCCAGUAGCGGCGAGCGAACGGGGAGGAGCCCAGAGCCUGAAUCAGCAUGUGUGUUAGUGGAAGCGUCUGGAAAGGCGCGCGAUACAGGGUGACAGCCCCGUACACAAAAGCGCAUGUGCUGUGAGCUCGAUGAGUAGGGCGGGACACGUGGUAUCCUGUCUGAAUAUGGGGGGACCAUCCUCCAAGGCUAAAUACUCCUGACUGACCGAUAGUGAACCAGUACCGUGAGGGAAAGGCGAAAAGAACCCCGGCGAGGGGAGUGAAAAAGAACCUGAAACCGUGUACGUACAAGCAGUGGGAGCCCCACCACCAAAGCGUUUCGCUUUGUGUGGUGCACAAAGAAGCGUAACGACAGCACUGAAUGACGGUUAACGGAGCGCAAGCGACGUUCAACAUACAAAGUCAAGCAGUGGAGCGCUUUGGGGUGGGGUGACUGCGUACCUUUUGUAUAAUGGGUCAGCGACUUAUAUUCUGUAGCAAGGUUAACCGAAUAGGGGAGCCGGAGGGAAACCGAGUCUUAACCGGGCGUUAAGUUGCAGGGUAUAGACCCGAAACCCGGUGAUCUAGCCAUGGGCAGGUUGAAGGUUGGGUAACACUAACUGGAGGACCGAACCGACUAAUGUUGAAAAAUUAGCGGAUGACCUGUGGCUGGGGGUGAAAGGCCAAUCAAACCGGGAGAUAGCUGGUUCUCCCCGAAAGCUAUUUAGGUAGCGCCUCGUGAAUUCAUCUCCGGGGGUAGAGCACUGUUUCGGCUAGGGGGCCAUCCCGGCUUACCAACCCGAUGCAAACUGCGAAUACCGGAGAAUGUUAUCACGGGAGACACACGGCGGGUGCUAACGUCCGUCGUGAAGAGGGAAACAACCCAGACCGCCAGCUAAGGUCCCAAAGUCAUGGUUAAGUGGGAAACGAUGUGGGAAGGCCCAGACAGCCAGGAUGUUGGCUUAGAAGCAGCCAUCAUUUAAAGAAAGCGUAAUAGCUCACUGGUCGAGUCGGCCUGCGCGGAAGAUGUAACGGGGCUAAACCAUGCACCGAAGCUGCGGCAGCGACGCUUAUGCGUUGUUGGGUAGGGGAGCGUUCUGUAAGCCUGUGAAGGUGGCCUGUGAGGGUUGCUGGAGGUAUCAGAAGUGCGAAUGCUGACAUAAGUAACGAUAAAGCGGGUGAAAAGCCCGCUCGCCGGAAGACCAAGGGUUCCUGUCCAACGUUAAUCGGGGCAGGGUGAGUCGACCCCUAAGGCGAGGCCGAAAGGCGUAGUCGAUGGGAAACGGGUUAAUAUUCCCGUACUUGGUGUUACUGCGAAGGGGGGACGGAGAAGGCUAUGUUGGCCGGGCGACGGUUGUCCCGGUUUAAGCGUGUAGGUGUGUGUUCCAGGUAAAUCCGGUUCACUUUAACACUGAGGCGUGAUGACGAGGCACUACGGUGCUGAAGCAACAAAUGCCCUGCUUCCAGGAAAAGCCUCUAAGCAUCAGGUAACAUCAAAUCGUACCCCAAACCGACACAGGUGGUCAGGUAGAGAAUACCAAGGCGCUUGAGAGAACUCGGGUGAAGGAACUAGGCAAAAUGGUGCCGUAACUUCGGGAGAAGGCACGCUGACAUGUAGGUGAAGUGAUUUACUCAUGGAGCUGAAGUCAGUCGAAGAUACCAGCUGGCUGCAACUGUUUAUUAAAAACACAGCACUGUGCAAACACGAAAGUGGACGUAUACGGUGUGACGCCUGCCCGGUGCCGGAAGGUUAAUUGAUGGGGUCAGCGCAAGCGAAGCUCCUGAUCGAAGCCCCGGUAAACGGCGGCCGUAACUAUAACGGUCCUAAGGUAGCGAAAUUCCUUGUCGGGUAAGUUCCGACCUGCACGAAUGGCGUAAUGAUGGCCAGGCUGUCUCCACCCGAGACUCAGUGAAAUUGAACUCGCUGUGAAGAUGCAGUGUACCCGCGGCAAGACGGAAAGACCCCGUGAACCUUUACUAUAGCUUGACACUGAACAUUGAGCCUUGAUGUGUAGGAUAGGUGGGAGGCUUUGAAGUGUGGACGCCAGUCUGCAUGGAGCCGACCUUGAAAUACCACCCUUUAAUGUUUGAUGUUCUAACGUGGACCCGUUACCCGGGUUGCGGACAGUGUCUGGUGGGUAGUUUGACUGGGGCGGUCUCCUCCUAAAGAGUAACGGAGGAGCACGAAGGUUGGCUAAUCCUGGUCGGACAUCAGGAGGUUAGUGCAAUGGCAUAAGCCAGCUUGACUGCGAGCGUGACGGCGCGAGCAGGUGCGAAAGCAGGUCAUAGUGAUCCGGUGGUUCUGAAUGGAAGGGCCAUCGCUCAACGGAUAAAAGGUACUCCGGGGAUAACAGGCUGAUACCGCCCAAGAGUUCAUAUCGACGGCGGUGUUUGGCACCUCGAUGUCGGCUCAUCACAUCCUGGGGCUGAAGUAGGUCCCAAGGGUAUGGCUGUUCGCCAUUUAAAGUGGUACGCGAGCUGGGUUUAGAACGUCGUGAGACAGUUCGGUCCCUAUCUGCCGUGGGCGCUGGAGAACUGAGGGGGGCUGCUCCUAGUACGAGAGGACCGGAGUGGACGCAUCACUGGUGUUCGGGUUGUCAUGCCAAUGGCACUGCCCGGUAGCUAAAUGCGGAAGAGAUAAGUGCUGAAAGCAUCUAAGCACGAAACUUGCCCCGAGAUGAGUUCUCCCUGAGACUUAG